rnacentral:rRNA from 1 species
UACGAAGGGGGCUAGCGUUGCUCGGAAUCACUGGGCUUAAAGGGCGCGUAGGCGGGUGUGCAAGUCUGUGGUGAAAGCCUCCAGCUUAACUGGAGAAGUGCCAUGGAUACUGCACAUCUUGAGGAGGGUAGGGGCAUCUGGAACGGUCGGUGGAGCGGUGAAAUGCGUUGAUAUCGACCGGAACUCCGGUGGCGAAGGCGAGGUGCUGGACCCUUUCUGACGCUGAGGCGCGAAAGCCAGGGGAGCAAACGGG